rnacentral:lncRNA from 1 species
UCGGAGUGCUGGGUGAAUAUGAUACAAGUACAAUGUGUGAGAUUCUCAAAGAAUGAAAGUAUGCUAAAAAAUGCCUCUCUACUAAUGGUCACUGUGAGUGCUGGAAAUCCUAGAGACCCAGCAACCUGGCAUUCACCAAGCAAUACUUGCAGCGCAUACAGAGCCUUGGAAGAAGUAGAAGCCAUCACAAGAACCCAGGCUGAGGACAAUCAGGAUGAAAUCUUUCUCUACUGCCCAUUAUGUCACAUGUGAAGGCUACAAGGCUCAAGUUGUCCCAGGCUGGUUAUUUCACAAUUAAAGAAAUAUUUUCCUCUCAUCUUUUCUGCAAGACUCGAACAAAGAAGUUGCUUGUCUCAGUUGAGACUGGCAUCUAUUUUGCAAACAUGAAGAGAACCAGCCUGAAGACAAAACUAACAUAGAAAGGAGGGCAAAGAACACUGCAAGACAAAGAUCCCAUCAUCUCAGAUUCCUCUUCUGGAAAACACCUCGUGGCCGAUAUGUAAGACCUAUUUGAUGGAGUUCUUCUUUCCCGAAGCUCAUCAUUUCCAAACUGUUUUCAUCUGGGGGAUAGUUAACAUUACUGUGUGACAGGCACAGGGCAAAGUGUAGCAAAAUAUAAGUUGGGUGCCUACAUUAUCCUCAUUGUACACAAGAGGAAGCUAAGCCUUUGACAGUUCAUUAAUUAGUAGUGGCUAAAGAAUUGGUAAGUCAAAGUCUUCAUCUUUUCCCAGUGUCAUUUCUCGCAUGUAAGUAUCAAAUUCAUAUAUCCGUGAUUGUAUUGUAUUAUAAAGUCUAACCUUAAAUGUAGUUAAGUCAUUGUCUAGAGUUUCAUUUAAAGCUAUUAUUAAAUGAACCAUGGCUCAAAAAAAAAAAAAAAAAGAAUUGGUAAGUGCUCCAGUUAUAAUCCAAACUUGGAUCCGUCUGGCAAUAGAUUUCAUCCUUCAGUCUGACUUUUAGACAGCUAUGGCAUGACUUCCUUGCUAACUCAAGCCAAGCAACUGAGGCAUUGUCAGAAUCGUUACUACUGUUGCUUUUCCUCCUCCUUAGCCUCUCUUCCUUCCUUUCCUUCUUUGGUUGUGGUGCUGGAGGCUCACCCAGAGUCUUUCUAUUGCCAGACAUGCUAUAGCUGCUAAGAUACUCAUUCCACUUCAUAGUUCUCAAAAAGAUUUAAUAUUGUUGUUAUUUAUUGUUAUUAUUGUUGUUGUUGUUGUUGUUGGUGGUGGUGGGGUGUGUGUGUGUGUGUGUGUGUGUGUGUGUGUGUGUGUGUGUGUACUGUGCAGGUGCCCAUGGAGUCAAGAAGAGAGGCUAAGGUUCCCCAGAGGAAUUCACAGGCAACUGAAAGCCACUGCAUGUGGGUACUAGAAACUCAACACAGGUCCUCUGACAGAAUAAGAAGUGACCUUAACCACUGACCCAUCUCGCCAGUCUCCCUCAUACUAAAGGAACAGUUAUAAGGUAUCCUUUCAAUAGCCCACAGUAUGUUGAGUUACGAACUUCAGUGUUGGAGAGUGACAUUAAAGGCAAGUAUAGUCAAAACUCCUAAAGGGAAGACGUUUGAGGACGAUGGUCUUGUUCACCAAGAGAUGAAGAUGUUAGCUUACAGAAGACACAGCAAGUUCCCUGGGAAAGCAUGUGGCAAUAACACUGAGGCUCUGUGGUCAAAGCCUGGGAAUCUGACUUGAAGGUGAACUACAGUGUCUACAAAAUAAUUAAUAAUCACUUGAUUAUUAAUUACAAGUAAUUAAUAAUUUUUAGAGACAGAUUCUGUCAUGUGGCCCAAGCUGAACUUAAACUUGGGCUCUGAUCUUCCCACUCCAUACUGCCUUAGCUCCCGAGUGCUGGGAUUACAAGCGCGGGCUACUGUGGACGCUCUAUUCAGCUCUCGUGCUACAUGUUCAAUAGAAAUCUUAAAUAAAUUUCAAGGCUACAGGGGAGAGGGG